AUUGAACGCUGGCGGCAGGCCUAACACAUGCAAGUCGAGCGAGCGGCGGACGGGUGAGUAAUGUCUGGGAAACUGCGUGAUGGAGGGGGAGAACUACUGGAAACGGUAGCUAAUAUCGCACACCAUCAGAUGUGCCCAGAUGGGAUUAGCUAGUAGGUGGGGUAACGGCUCACCUAGGCGACGCUCCCUAGCUGGUCUGAGAGGAUGACCAGCCACACUGGAACUGAGACACGGUCCAGACUCCGACGGGAGGCAGCAGUGGGGAAUAUUGCACAAUGGGCGCAAGCCUGAUGCAGCCAUGCCGCGUGUGUGAAGAAGGCCUUCGGGUUGUAAAGCACUUUCAGCGGGGAGGCGUUACCCGCAGAAGAAGCACCGGCUAACUCCGUGCCAGCAGCCGCGGUAAUUC
rnacentral:rRNA from 1 species